UUGGAGGGCAAGUCUGGUGCCAGCAGCCGCGGUAAUUCCAGCUCCAAUAGCGUAUAUUAAAGUUGUUGCAGUUAAAAAGCUCGUAGUUGAAUUUUAGGCCUGGCCGGGCGGUCCGUCUUUGGCGAGUACUGUCCUGUGUCGAGUCCACCUUCUGGUGAACCAGUAUGUCCUUUAUUGGGUGUGCCGGGGAGCCAGGACCAUUACCUUGAAAAAAUUAGAGUGUUUAAAGCAGGCAUUUGCUUGAAUAGAUUAGCAUGGAAUAAUAGAAUAGGACGUUGUGGUUCUAUUUUGUUGGUUUCUAGGACCACCGUAAUGAUUAAUGGGGAUAGUUGGGGGCAUUAGUAUUCAAUUGUCAGAGGUGAAAUUCUUGGAUUUAUUGAAGACUAACUAUUGCGAAAGCAUUUGCCAAGGAUGUUUUCAUUAAUCAAGAACGAAAGUUAGGGGGUCGAAGACGAUCAGAUACCGUCGUAGUCUUAACCAUAAACUAUGCCGACUAGGGAUCGGAUGAUGUUAAUUUUUUAAUGACUCAUUCGGCGCCUUACGGGAAACCAAAGUGUUUGGGUUC
rnacentral:rRNA from 1 species